UACGGGGGAGCAAGCGUUGUUCGGAUUUACUGGGCGUAAAGGGCGCGUAGGCGGUCGUGACAAGUCACUUGUGAAAUCUCCGGGCUUAACUCGGAACGGUCAAGUGAUACUGUCGGACUAGAGUACAGAAGGGGCAACUGGAAUUCUCGGUGUAGCGGUGAAAUGCGCAGAUAUCAGGAGGAACACCGAUGGCGAAGGCAGGUCUCUGGGCAUUAACUGACGCUGAGGAGCGAAAGCGUGGGGAGCGAACAGG
rnacentral:rRNA from 1 species